rnacentral:misc_RNA from 1 species
UCCCAGGAUCUGUUCUUUUGCCUACUCCUUGGUAAGUAUCUCCUAACCAGUUCGAUAGUUGUCUCAUCUUCUCAAAUGAAUUGCAGUUGGGCUGGGCAAUUUUAUUGUGACGCCACAUGAGCAUAUAUUUCUCAAGAACGAUGUUUAUAGAUGUGUAUGUUAUGGUAGUGCAGAAGAUAAUUGAAUUAGUAUUGAUCCUUGCAAUU